rnacentral:rRNA from 1 species
GACGAACGCUGGCGGCGUGCCUAAUACAUGCAAGUAGAACGCUGAAGAGAGGAGCUUGCUCUUCUUGGAUGAGUUGCGAACGGGUGAGUAACGCGUAGGUAACCUGCCUGGUAGCGGGGGAUGACUAUUGGAAACGAUAGCUAAUACCGCAUAAAAUUGAUUAUUGCAUGAUAAUUAAUUGAAAGAUGCAAUUGCAUCACUACCAGAUGGAACUGCGUUGUAUUAGCUAGUUGGUGAGGUAACGGCUCACCAAGGCGACGAUACAUAGCCGACCUGAGAGGGUGAUCGGCCACACUGGGACUGAGACACGGCCCAGACUCCUACGGGAGGCAGCAGUAGGGAAUCUUCGGCAAUGGGGGGAACCCUGACCGAGCAACGCCGCGUGAGUGAAGAAGGUUUUCGGAUCGUAAAGCUCUGUUGUAAGAGAAGAACGGGUGUGAGAGUGGAAAGUUCACACUGUGACGGUAUCUUACCAGAAAGGGACGGCUAACUACGUGCCAGCAGCCGCGGUAACAC